CACCAAGGCGACGAUCCGUAGCUGGUCUGAGAGGAUGAUCAGCCACACUGGAACUGAGACACGGUCCAGACUCCUACGGGAGGCAGCAGUGGGGAAUAUUGGACAAUGGGCGCAAGCCUGAUCCAGCCAUACCGCGUGGGUGAAGAAGGCCUUCGGGUUGUAAAGCCCUUUUGUUGGGAAAGAAAUCCAUCUGGUUAAUACCCGGGUGGGAUGACGGUACCCAAAGAAUAAGCACCGGCUAACUUCGUGCCAGCAGCCGCGGUAAUACGAAGGGUGCAAGCGUUACUCGGAAUUACUGGGCGUAAAGCGUGCGUAGGUGGUCGUUUAAGUCCGUUGUGAAAGCCCUGGGCUCAACCUGGGAACUGCAGUGGAUACUGGGCGACUAGAAUGUGGUAGAGGGUAGCGGAAUUCCUGGUGUAGCAGUGAAAUGCGUAGAGAUCAGGAGGAACAUCCAUGGCGAAGGCAGCUACCUGGACCAACAUUGACACUGAGGCACGAAAGCGUGGGGAG
rnacentral:rRNA from 1 species